rnacentral:tRNA from 1 species
UGGAGAAGUACCCAAGUGGCUGAAGGGUCCGGCUUCGAACACCGGUAGGCUGUAACAGGCGCGAGGGUUCAAAUCCCUCCUUCUCCGU